UUAAGCGACUAAGCGUACACGGUGGAUGCCCUGGCAGUCAGAGGCGAUGAAGGACGUGCUAAUCUGCGAUAAGCGUCGGUAAGGUGAUAUGAACCGUUAUAACCGGCGAUUUCCGAAUGGGGAAACCCAGUGUGAUUCGUCACACUAUCAUUAACUGAAUCCAUAGGUUAAUGAGGCGAACCGGGGGAACUGAAACAUCUAAGUACCCCGAGGAAAAGAAAUCAACCGAGAUUCCCCCAGUAGCGGCGAGCGAACGGGGAGCAGCCCAGAGCCUGAAUCAGUGUGUGUGUUAGUGGAAGCGUCUGGAAAGGCGCGCGAUACAGGGUGACAGCCCCGUACACAAAAAUGCACAUACUGUGAGCUCGAUGAGUAGGGCGGGACACGUGGUAUCCUGUCUGAAUAUGGGGGGACCAUCCUCCAAGGCUAAAUACUCCUGACUGACCGAUAGUGAACCAGUACCGUGAGGGAAAGGCGAAAAGAACCCCGGCGAGGGGAGUGAAAAAGAACCUGAAACCGUGUACGUACAAGCAGUGGGAGCACAGAGCAAUCUGUGUGACUGCGUACCUUUUGUAUAAUGGGUCAGCGACUUAUAUUCUGUAGCAAGGUUAACCGAAUAGGGGAGCCGAAGGGAAACCGAGUCUUAACUGGGCGUUAAGUUGCAGGGUAUAGACCCGAAACCCGGUGAUCUAGCCAUGGGCAGGUUGAAGGUUGGGUAACACUAACUGGAGGACCGAACCGACUAAUGUUGAAAAAUUAGCGGAUGACUUGUGGCUGGGGGUGAAAGGCCAAUCAAACCGGGAGAUAGCUGGUUCUCCCCGAAAGCUAUUUAGGUAGCGCCUCGUGAAUUCAUCUCCGGGGGUAGAGCACUGUUUCGGCAAGGGGGUCAUCCCGACUUACCAACCCGAUGCAAACUGCGAAUACCGGAGAAUGUUAUCACGGGAGACACACGGCGGGUGCUAACGUCCGUCGUGAAGAGGGAAACAACCCAGACCGCCAGCUAAGGUCCCAAAGUCAUGGUUAAGUGGGAAACGAUGUGGGAAGGCCCAGACAGCCAGGAUGUUGGCUUAGAAGCAGCCAUCAUUUAAAGAAAGCGUAAUAGCUCACUGGUCGAGUCGGCCUGCGCGGAAGAUGUAACGGGGCUAAACCAUGCACCGAAGCUGCGGCAGCGACACUAUGUGUUGUUGGGUAGGGGAGCGUUCUGUAAGCCUGUGAAGGUGUACUGUGAGGUAUGCUGGAGGUAUCAGAAGUGCGAAUGCUGACAUAAGUAACGAUAAAGCGGGUGAAAAGCCCGCUCGCCGGAAGACCAAGGGUUCCUGUCCAACGUUAAUCGGGGCAGGGUGAGUCGACCCCUAAGGCGAGGCCGAAAGGCGUAGUCGAUGGGAAACAGGUUAAUAUUCCUGUACUUGGUGUUACUGCGAAGGGGGGACGGAGAAGGCUAUGUUGGCCGGGCGACGGUUGUCCCGGUUUAAGCGUGUAGGCUGGUUUUCCAGGCAAAUCCGGAAAAUCAAGGCUGAGGCGUGAUGACGAGGCACUACGGUGCUGAAGCAACAAAUGCCCUGCUUCCAGGAAAAGCCUCUAAGCAUCAGGUAACAUCAAAUCGUACCCCAAACCGACACAGGUGGUCAGGUAGAGAAUACCAAGGCGCUUGAGAGAACUCGGGUGAAGGAACUAGGCAAAAUGGUGCCGUAACUUCGGGAGAAGGCACGCUGAUAUGUAGGUGAAGUCCCUCGCGGAUGGAGCUGAAAUCAGUCGAAGAUACCAGCUGGCUGCAACUGUUUAUUAAAAACACAGCACUGUGCAAACACGAAAGUGGACGUAUACGGUGUGACGCCUGCCCGGUGCCGGAAGGUUAAUUGAUGGGGUCAGCGCAAGCGAAGCUCUUGAUCGAAGCCCCGGUAAACGGCGGCCGUAACUAUAACGGUCCUAAGGUAGCGAAAUUCCUUGUCGGGUAAGUUCCGACCUGCACGAAUGGCGUAAUGAUGGCCAGGCUGUCUCCACCCGAGACUCAGUGAAAUUGAACUCGCUGUGAAGAUGCAGUGUACCCGCGGCAAGACGGAAAGACCCCGUGAACCUUUACUAUAGCUUGACACUGAACAUUGAGCCUUGAUGUGUAGGAUAGGUGGGAGGCUUGGAAGUGUGGACGCCAGUCUGCAUGGAGCCGACCUUGAAAUACCACCCUUUAAUGUUUGAUGUUCUAACGUUGACCCGUAAUCCGGGUUGCGGACAGUGUCUGGUGGGUAGUUUGACUGGGGCGGUCUCCUCCUAAAGAGUAACGGAGGAGCACGAAGGUUGGCUAAUCCUGGUCGGACAUCAGGAGGUUAGUGCAAUGGCAUAAGCCAGCUUGACUGCGAGCGUGACGGCGCGAGCAGGUGCGAAAGCAGGUCAUAGUGAUCCGGUGGUUCUGAAUGGAAGGGCCAUCGCUCAACGGAUAAAAGGUACUCCGGGGAUAACAGGCUGAUACCGCCCAAGAGUUCAUAUCGACGGCGGUGUUUGGCACCUCGAUGUCGGCUCAUCACAUCCUGGGGCUGAAGUAGGUCCCAAGGGUAUGGCUGUUCGCCAUUUAAAGUGGUACGCGAGCUGGGUUUAGAACGUCGUGAGACAGUUCGGUCCCUAUCUGCCGUGGGCGCUGGAGAACUGAGGGGGGCUGCUCCUAGUACGAGAGGACCGGAGUGGACGCAUCACUGGUGUUCGGGUUGUCAUGCCAAUGGCACUGCCCGGUAGCUAAAUGCGGAAGAGAUAAGUGCUGAAAGCAUCUAAGCACGAAACUUGCCCCGAGAUGAGUUCUCCCUGACUCCUUGAGAGUCCUGAAGGAACGUUGAAGACGACGACGUUGAUAGGCCGGGUGUGUAAGCGCAGCGAUGCGUUGAGCUAACCGGUACUAAUGAACCGUGAGGCUUAACCUU
rnacentral:rRNA from 1 species